UGGGGAAUAUUGCACAAUGGGGGAAACCCUGAUGCAGCAACGCCGCGUGAGUGAAGAAGUAUCUCGGUAUGUAAAGCUCUAUCGGCAGGGAAGAAGAAGGACGGUACCUGACUAAGAAGCCCCGGCUAACUACGUGCCAGCAGCCGCGGUAAUACGUAGGGGGCGAGCGUUAUCCGGAUUUACUGGGUGUAAAGGGAGCGCAGACGGCAUGGCAAGUCUGAAGUGAAAGCCCGCGGCUCAACCGCGGAACCGCUUUGGAAACUGCCGGGCUGGAGUGCUGGAGAGGCAAGCGGAAUUCCUAGUGUAGCGGUGAAAUGCGUAGAUAUUAGGAGGAACACCAGUGGCGAAGGCGGCUUGCUGGACAGUGACUGACGUUGAGGCUCGAAAGCGUGGGGAGCAAACAGG
rnacentral:rRNA from 1 species